rnacentral:rRNA from 1 species
GACGAACGCUGGCGGCGUGCUUAACACAUGCAAGUCGAGCGGUAAGGCCCUUUCGGGGGUACACGAGCGGCGAACGGGUGAGUAACACGUGGGUGACCUGCCCUCAGCUCUGGGAUAAGCCUGGGAAACUGGGUCUAAUACCGGAUAUGACUCCAUGACGCAUGUUGUGGGGUGGAAAGCCUUGUGCGGCUGAGGAUGGGCCCGCGGCCUAUCAGCUUGUUGGUGGGGUGAGGCCUACCAAGGCGACGACGGGUAGCCGGCCUGAGAGGGCGACCGGCCACACUGGGACUGAGACACGGCCCAGACUCCUACGGGAGGCAGCAGUGGGGAAUCUUGCGCAAUGGGCGAAAGCCUGACGCAGCGACGCCGCGUGAGGGAUGACGGCCUGGU